GACGUUGGGAAAGCGAGCGGCGGAUGGGUGAGUAACACGUGGGGAACCUGCCCCUAAGUCUGGGAUACCAUUUGGAAACAGGUGCUAAUACCGGAUAAUAAAGCAGAUCGCAUGAUCAGCUUUUGAAAGGCGGCGUAAGCUGUCGCUAAGGGAUGGCCCCGCGGUGCAUUAGCUAGUUGGUAAGGUAACGGCUUACCAAGGCGACGAUGCAUAGCCGAGUUGAGAGACUGAUCGGCCACAUUGGGACUGAGACACGGCCCAAACUCCUACGGGAGGCAGCAGUAGGGAAUCUUCCACAAUGGACGCAAGUCUGAUGGAGCAACGCCGCGUGAGUGAAGAAGGUUUUCGGAUCGUAAAGCUCUGUUGUUGGUGAAGAAGGAUAGAGGUAGUAACUGGCCUUUAUUUGACGGUAAUCAACCAGAAAGUCACGGCUAACUACGUGCCAGCAGCCGCGGUAAUACGUAGGUGGCAAGCGUUGUCCGGAUUUAUUGGGCGUAAAGCGAGCGCAGGCGGAAAAAUAAGUCUAAUGUGAAAGCCCUCGGCUUAACCGAGGAACUGCAUCGGAAACUGUUUUUCUUGAGUGCAGAAGAGGAGAGUGGAACUCCAUGUGUAGCGGUGGAAUGCGUAGAUAUAUGGAAGAACACCAGUGGCGAAGGCGGCUCUCUGGUCUGCAACUGACGCUGAGGCUCGAAAGCAUGGGUAGCGAACAGGAUUAGAUACCCUGGUAGUCCAUGCCGUAAACGAUGAGUGCUAAGUGUUGGGAGGUUUCCGCCUCUCAGUGCUGCAGCUAACGCAUUAAGCACUCCGCCUGGGGAGUACGACCGCAAGGUUGAAACUCAAAGGAAUUGACGGGGGGCCCGCACAAGCGGUGGAACCAUGUGGUUUAAUUCGAA
rnacentral:rRNA from 1 species